rnacentral:ncRNA from 1 species
UCAACUUGCCAGCGGGUGCACUUUCUUUUCUACUUAGAACUGAAAGAGCUGAGACAAAACCGUUUGGACUCGAUCAAGAUCAUUCUUGCGUGAGGAGGCUAAGUUGUUCAAAA